UACGGGGGGGGCAAGCGUUGUUCGGAAUUACUGGGCGUAAAGCGUGCGUAGGUGGUGCGUUAAGUCUGUCGUGAAAGCCCCGGGCUCAACCUGGGAAUGGCGAUGGAUACUGGCGCGCUAGAGUGCGGUAGAGGAGAGUGGAAUUCCCGGUGUAGCAGUGAAAUGCGUAGAGAUCGGGAGGAACAUCAGUUGCGAAGGCGGCUCUCUGGACCAGCACUGACACUGAGGCACGAAAGCGUGGGGAGCAAACAGG
rnacentral:rRNA from 1 species